UAUUACACAAUGGGGGAAACCCUGAUGCAGCGACGCCGCGUGAAGGAAGAAGUAUCUCGGUAUGUAAACUUCUAUCAGCAGGGAAGAAAAUGACGGUACCUGACUAACAAGCCCCGGCUAACUACGUGCCAGCAGCCGCGGUAAUACGUAGGGGGCAAGCGUUAUCCGGAUUUACUGGGUGUAAAGGCAGCGUAGACGGAAGAGCAAGUAUGAUGUGAAAGGCUGGGGCUUAACCCCAGGACUGCAUUGGAAACUGUUGUUCUAGAGUGCCGGAGAGGUAAGCGGAAUUCCUAGUGUAGCGGUGAAAUGCGUAGAUAUUAGGAGGAACACCAGUGGUGAAGGCGACUUACUGGACGGUAACUGACGUUGAGGCUCGAAAGCGUGGGGAGCAAACAG
rnacentral:rRNA from 1 species